AGUGAACGCUGGCGGUAGGCCCAACACAUGCAAGUCGAACGGCAGCACAGUAAGUGCUUGCUCUUACGAGGGGCGAGUGGCGUACGGGUGAGGAAUACAUCGGAAUCUACUUUUUCGUGGGGGAUAACGUAGGGAAACUUACGCUAAUACCGCAUACGACCUACGGGUGAAAGCAGGGGAUCUUCGGACCUUGCGCGAUUGAAUGAGCCGAUGUCGGAUUAGCUAGUUGGCGGGGGGAAGGCCCACCAAGGCGACGAUCCGUAGCUGGUCUGAGUGCAUGAUCAGCCACACUUGAACUGCGACACGGUCCAGACUCAUACGAGAGGCAGCAGCCGGAUAUGUUAGACAAUUGUCGCAAGCCUGAUCCAGCCAUCCGGCGUCGGUGACGAACCCCUUCGGGUUGUAAAGCCCUUUUGUUGCGAAAGAAAAGCAACGGGUUAAUACCCCGCUGCUCUGGCAGUACCCACAGAAUAGGCACCGGCUAACUUCUGG
rnacentral:rRNA from 1 species